GGGUGAGUAACGCGUGGGCAACCUGCCCUGUACCGGGGGACAACAGCCAGAAAUGGCUGCUAAUACCGCAUAAGCCUGCUGUGCCGCAUGGCACAGCAGGGAAAACCACGGUGGUACAGGAUGGGCCCGCGUCUGAUUAGUUAGUUGGCAGGGUAACGGCCUACCAAGACAACGAUCAGUAGCCGGCUUGAGAGAGUGGACGGCCACAUUGGGACUGAGACACGGCCCAGACUCCUGCGGGAGGCAGCAGUGGGGAAUAUUGCACAAUGGGGGGAACCCUGAUGCAGCAAUGCCGCGUGGGCGAAGAAGCACUCCGGUGCGUAAAGCCCUGUCAGCAGGGAAGAAAAUGACAGUACCUGGACAAGAAGCCCCGGCUAACUACGUGCCAGCAGCCGCGGUAAUACGUAGGGGGCAAGCGUUAUCCGGAUUUACUGGGUGUAAAGGGAGCGCAGGCGGCGUGGCAAGUCAGAUGUGAAAACCCGGGGCCCAACCCCGGGAGUGCAUUUGAAACUGCCAUGCUGGAGUGCCGGAGAGGUAAGCGGAAUUCCUAGUGUAGCGGUGAAAUGCGUAGAUAUUAGGAGGAACACCAGUGGCGGAGGCGGCUUACUGGACGGUAACUGACGCUGAGGCUCGAAAGCGUGGGGAGCAAACAGGAUUAGAUACCCUGGUAGUCCACGCCGUAA
rnacentral:rRNA from 1 species